rnacentral:rRNA from 1 species
CUACCAUGCCAAGUCGAGCGGAUGAAGGGAGCUUGCUUCCUGAUUCAGCGGCGGACGGGUGAGUAAUGCCUAGGAAUCUGCCUGGUAGUGGGGGACAACGUCUCGAAAGGGACGCUAAUACCGCAUACGUCCUACGGGAGAAAGUGGGGGCUCUUCGGACCUCACGCUAUCAGAUGAGCCUAGGUCGGAUUAGCUAGUUGGUGGGGUAAUGGCUCACCAAGGCGACGAUCCGUAACUGGUCUGAGAGGAUGAUCAGUCACACUGGAACUGAGACACGGUCCAGACUCCUACGGGAGGCAGCAGUGGGGAAUAUUGGACAAUGGGCGAAAGCCUGAUCCAGCCAUGCCGCGUGUGUGAAGAAGGUCUUCGGAUUGUAAAGCACUUUAAGUUGGGAGGAAGGGCACUGACCUAAUACGUCUGUGUUUUGACGUUACCGACAGAAUAAGCACCGGCUAACUCUGUGCCAGCAGCCGCGGUAAUACAGAGGGUGCAAGCGUUAAUCGGAAUUACUGGGCGUAAAGCGCGCGUAGGUGGUUUGUUAAGUUGAAUGUGAAAUCCCCGGGCUCAACCUGGGAACUGCAUCCAAAACUGGCAGGCUAGAGUAGGGCAGAGGGUGGUGGAAUUUCCUGUGUAGCGGUGAAAUGCGUAGAUAUAGGAAGGAACACCAGUGGCGAAGGCGACCACCUGGGCUCAUACUGACACUGAGGUGCGAAAGCGUGGGGAGCAAACAGGAUUAGAUACCCUGGUAGUCCACGCCGUAAACGAUGUCAACUAGCCGUUGGAAUCCUUGAGAUUUUAGUGGCGCAGCUAACGCAUUAAGUUGACCGCCUGGGGAGUACGGCCGCAAGGUUAAAACUCAAAUGAAUUGACGGGGGCCCGCACAAGCGGUGGAGCAUGUGUUUAAUUCGAAGCACGCGAAGAACCUUACCAGGCCUUGACAUCCAGUGAACCGACCAGA